UACGUAGGGACCAAGCGUUGUUCGGAUUUACUGGGCGUAAAGGGCGCGUAGGCGGCAUAUUAAGUCAGCUGUGAAAUCUCCGAGCUUAACUCGGAACGGCCAGCUGAUACUGAUGUGCUAGAGUGCGGAAGGGGCAAUCGGAAUUCUUGGUGUAGCGGUGAAAUGCGUAGAUAUCAAGAGGAACACCUGAGGUGAAGACGGGUUGCUGGGCCGACACUGACGCUGAGGCGCGAAAGCGCGGGGAGCGAACGGG
rnacentral:rRNA from 1 species